AAGAUACCAGUUUUUUUAUUUUAUUAUACAUAUAGAUGUACAUUUUAAUAUUAGUUAUUCGUAUUUUAGAGGACAUUUUGUAUCGAUAGGCGAACAAGUUAAAUCCGUUGUUCAGUUUUAAUUCGGUUUCAGUGAUAUUAAGACGUGUUUGUUACUUUUAAAUAUAACAUUAUUUUUUUUUAUAAUUUUUCUUUUGUGUCGCCAUCUUUAUUCGCCCCUGUACCACAGCUAUUGCGGAGCCCCUCCGUCCAGUGCAUCCAGACACCUCCUCUGGCACGUGACAUCCGACUCCGGGAUCAACUCUUCUAUUUCCCUCAACCAGGACUUUGAAGCAUCCACUUCAGGUUGAAAUUCAUCAGAAAUUCGAUGCGUCUGCUUCAGAAGAACCGAACUCGUGCUUCGUCGUGUUCGAACGCGCAUUGAAACAUACGCUUCAAAGUCGACAAUAGGCCUUUGCAGCGUUCACUUCAGAAGCCAGAAGCCAAUCGGGACUUUGACCUAGCCUCUCCUUGGCUUUGUCUGUUUCGUUAGUAGCUCAGACAUAGCCUGAUAGAGGUUACGUUUUGUCCCUUUCCAACGGUCAUACGAAGAAAGAAGACAGAAGAUUUUAUUGAAGCGAAAAUAUUAAAUAAUGUGUCUAUUGUGCAAAGGCAAAAUAAACUACAUUUAACUUUAACUAGA